rnacentral:rRNA from 1 species
UACCAGCACCCCGAGUGGUCGGGACGUUUAUUGGGCCUAAUGCAUCCGUAGCCGGUUCUACAAGUCUUCCGUUAAAUCCAGCUGCUUAACAGAUGGGCUGCGGAAGAUACUAUGGAGCUAGGAGGCGGGAGAGGCAAGCGGUACUCGAUGGGUAGGGGUAAAAUCCGUUGAUCCAUUGAAGACCACCAGUGGCGAAGGCGGCUUGCCAGAACGCGCUCGACGGUGAGGGAUGAAAGCUGGGGGAGCAAACCGG